rnacentral:misc_RNA from 1 species
AAGAAUUUCAUAUAAUUAAUUGACAUUCAAAUGGUAGGAACGUACCAGCGUGAGGCCAGUGAGCGUCUCUUCACUGAUGAACAAACCCUCAAAUUUUACACCAAAGUUUUCUCUUUCUUAUUUUUACAAUAAUGGUUGGUAGCUUUGUCAGUCAGCAAGCAAAACCCAGGAAUUGUCAGCCGGGUGAUUCGCUGUGAAUCUACAGUAGAAAGCAGUAAUACACUUAGAUCUUAAAAAAUGAAAGACUAUCUUUUUCUCUGACCCUAAAUUAAAUAACUUCCUGAAAAGUAGAAUUUCUAAGAAG